rnacentral:rRNA from 1 species
AUUGAACGCUGGCGGCAGGCCUAACACAUGCAAGUCGAGCGAGCGGCAGACGGGUGAGUAAUGUAUGGGGACUGCCCGAUAGAGGGGGAUAACUACUGGAAACGUUGGCUAAUCCCGCAUACUAUCGGAUAACCCAUAUGGGCGUAGCUAGUAGGUGGGGUAAAGGCUCACCUAGGCGACGAUCUCUAGCUGGGCUGAGAGGAUGAUCAGCAACACGGGGACUGAGACACGGCCCAGACUCCUACGGAGGCAGCAGUGGGGAAUAUUGCACAAGGGGCGCAAGCCUGAUGCAGCCAUGCGGCGUGGAUGAAGAAGGCCUUAGGGUUGUAAAGUACGUUCAGCGGGGAGGCGUUACCCGCAGAAGAAGCACCGGCUAACUCCGUGCCAGCAGCCGCGGUAAUUC